rnacentral:rRNA from 1 species
GAUGAACGCUGGCGGCGUGCCUAAUACAUGCAAGUCGAGCGAACGGACGAGAAGUUUGCUUCUCUGAUGUUAGCGGCGGACGGGUGAGUAACACGUGGAUAACCGACCUAUAAGACUGGGAUAACUUAGGGAAACCGGAGCUAAUACCGGAUAAUAUUUUGAACCGCAUGGUUCAAAAGUGAAAGACGGUCUUGCUGUCACUGAUAGAUGGAUCCGCGCUGCAUUAGCUAGUUGGCAAGGUAACGGCUUACCAAGGCAACGAUGCAUAGCCGACCUGAGAGGGUGAUCGGCCACACUGGAACUGAGACACGGUCCAGACUCCUACGGGAGGCAGCAGUAGGGAAUCUUCCGCAAUGGGCGAAAGCCUGACGGAGCAACGCCGCGUGAGUGAUGAAGGUCUUCGGAUCGUAAAACUCUGUUAUUAGGGAAGAACAUAUGUGUAAGUAACUGUGCACAUCUUGACGGUACCUAAUCAGAAAGCCACGGCUAACUACGUG